rnacentral:rRNA from 1 species
GGGCUUGACAUCCCACGAACCUGCCUGAAAGGGUGGGGUGCCCGCAAGGGAGCGUGGAGACAGGUGGUGCAUGGCUGUCGUCAGCUCGUGUCGUGAGAUGUUGGGUUAAGUCCCGCAACGAGCGCAACCCUCACUCCUUGUUGCCACCGGGUAAAGCCGAGCACUCGAGGGGAACUGCCAGCGUCAAGCUGGAGGAAGGCGGGGAUGACGUCAAGUCAUCAUGCCCCUUACGCCCUGGGCUACACACGUGCUACAAUGGCCGGUACAGAGGGAUGCGAUACCGCGAGGUGGAGCUAAUCCCAAAAAGCUGGUCUAAGUUCAGAUUGCAGUCUGCAACUCGACUGCAUGAAGGAGGAAUCGCUAGUAAUCGCGCAUCAGCACGGCGCGGUGAAUACGUUCCCGGGCCUUGUACACACCGCCCGUCACACCACGAAAGUCGGCUGUACUCGAAGUCGCUGAG